AGGGGUUCUCCUGGCUGGGGAGGGCUUUUAGCUGCUUAUUAUGGUUUCUGUGUGCAUCUGUGAUGCUGUUGUGGGCUCCUGGAGCUUCUGGGUCCCAUUUAAAAGCGGGAUCUUGUCUCUGUGUGCUCAGGUAGCAUCAGGGCUGGCACCCCCGAGGCAAUGAGCAGGGCACUGGGGGGAACGUGGAGCCUCUGUGCCAGCAGCUGGAUGCCACCCUGGUUCUGAGGGAAUCUGGCCUUGGCUCCCAAAUGAGGACAUCCAGGUCCCUUCAUACGUCUGCUUCUGCUGGGUUGUGCCACUUGCUUUGGCUCUGUGUUGCUGUCAGCUGGACGAGGAUAUUUGCCUGCCUUCUGCGACUUCACCGAUCAUGUUUUCUCAGGUGCCUCCAUCCUUUACCCAGGAAGGGAGGCGGGGAUUUGUUUGAGGGGCGUUAUCAUAGAACAAGGACUUGGUUUGCCAGGCUUGCUCUUUUCUCUCUACUUCCACAGUUUCACCUCAAGUUACCCAUUCAUUCUUGAAAUCACAGGGCCAGAUUCCUCCCUCUUCUUUCCCCAGCCCGUUUUCUUUGCUUCUGCCUUUGUGGGAGCUUGUCUCAACACCCAGAAAAGGAGCCAAUGUUUUCUGUGCUAACAAAGUGAGCAUUGUUAUGCAGUUGCAGAGUGGGUGGAUGUGACUGCUGACAGACUAUUCCUUCUGCUAGGGUGUGGAUUAAAGCUCAAGGUGACUUUGUUCCUGCAUAAAUUCACUAACUUCCCCUAGGGAACUGGAGGGGCAGGGCCGGGAGGGGAGAAGUAUGAUAAAUGAAAGUGUCGGAAGGAAAUGCACUUACAUAGCACGCACUGCCAAAGCAUAAAUGCGUGCUCUGUAAGGAGCUUUCGACAUAGCUUAAGGUAGCACUCCAUGGAUUAAAAAGAAAUAAAAUUAUAAAAAAAAAACAAACAGCCUAUGUUUAGCUGACAACUUGCUCUGCAGGCUGCUGUCCCGGUGUAAUUGCCUGGGUAAGUGGAUUAGCGAGCAGCAGCGUGGCUUGUUCAGGGUUAGGCAUGCUUCGAGGGGCAGCCUGUGCUACAAGGAACAGCUCUGCUGCCUGCCAGCCGAGCCUGCUCGCCGCUGAAGACGGAGGCAGACUGUCGGGUUGUCAUCGUGUGCGCUCCCUGCGAAGGGUCCCAUGGAAACAGUUCCUUUCAGAGCUAUCGCUUGUCCUUAUCUGCGGCAAGGUGGGUAUGGUGACAGCAAAUCACAUCUUGGGACACUUCUUUGCCUUUGUUGCCAUGGGAAUCUGCCUUCUGCAGCUUUGUCUUCAGUGAAAAAAGAGAAGAGUCGUUACCUUCCCUUGCUCACCCCCCCAAAUGUGCUGAGGUCAAGGGGGUGGUCAGCCACGUAGCAUGUGGAACAAAAUGUUUGUGUUGAGGACAGGGCUGUGAGGCCUUUUGUCUUAGAAUCUCACCACAGCACGCACAUCCCUCCGUGGUAGUUACCGCGUCUGUCUCACGGAGCGGCGAUGCAAAGCACAAAGCAGCGAGGCGAGUUGGCCCAGGUAAGACGUGCUGGGGGUGUCAGGCGCCGCGUAUCUCACCGUGCCAGAGAAACAAGGCCGGGACCUGCCCCUGCAUCGACGUUACGGCACAGGUGGAAGAAUCCGGGUCACGCAGGAGGAGCCUGACACACCAAAGUGUGAUGUCUGCCUGAAGGCCUGGCACGACCCACGGGUUUGGGUGCCAGUGUGGGAGCACCCAGGUGUGGUUCCCUGCCUCCACAAGAGAGGGCGGCUGCGGUGGUGCCAGAGGCCCCACAGGCUGCUGGCAAGGCAGGGAUGCGGGAGCCAUGUGGCCAUAACCAGGAGGCGGCAGCACCGCCGAGCCUUUGAAGGGGCGCAAAGUGAUGCUGGGAAGCAGGAUCCUGACCCGGCCAUCUGGCCAAGUCAGCGCUGUGCUUCUCCGGUGCCACAGUUCAUGAUCAAGCCCUGUCAAAUCUGGUACAGAGAGAAUGGAAACUGCAUGUACAAAGCGAGCUUCAUUUCUUGUGGGAAAUAGUUCAGUCACUGGAAUUUUCCACCUUGUAAAGGGAACCACGUCGCUCACUCAGGAGGUACUCUGAGGUGAUGAUAACAAGAAAUCAGCGCAUUUCAGAGAGCUCCUCUCAGUUGCUGGGUAUGUUUUGUUCCUUCCCAGCCUUUGCUCGCAUCAUUUCUUCAGAUCAUAGCUGAUCUUUGCUUUUGUUACGAGUUUUGAGCGGAUUCCGAUACCAAACUCAAAGAUACUUAUCUGCACAGGACUCCUACGAAAUAAAGAAGUUGUGUCAUUUCCAUUGUAUGAAUGAGGAACUGAGUCAUAGGAGCCCAAAUGACACAUCUGAGGUUACUCAAGGAGGCUGAGCGCUGCUGGGAACUGAAUCUGGGUGUUCCUGUCCCCGGCGGAGAUCUCGCCCACUGCGUGCUGCAGCGUUUUCAUGUGGGGCAUCGCUGCGCCCUGCCUCUGGCCUUUGAUCUCAGCCUGGGCCCUUGGACUCUGAAACGAGUAAUAAACGCAAUAAACCUCUUUCAAGAGGAAAGAGUGAUUUAUCUGGAGCCCUAAACUUUUGGCACUGGAAGAAAAAGCAGAAUUUGAACUGGUCAAUGUAAAUAACACUACAAUUACAAUCAAGUGCUUUUGCUUAGACUUUGGUGUUUGUGGUGUCACGUCCUCCUGGGGAAGUGGGUAUUAUGCCUCCAGCUGGCAGAAAAGUUCACAUUUGUGCCUAAGCUGAUGCAGGUUUUGUUGCUAAAAAUACUGCACUAUUUCAAACUGCGCUGCUAUAAGCUAUGCAAAGAGUCAUCGUCUUGAUGUUGUUCAAAUUAACAGUGACUAAAUGCAAAAAUAGAAAUGAGAAACACACAAUUCUGGAGCAGCGGGAAAAAAAGAUGCAGCAGUUUAACCUGGGAUAGGAAAAAACACACAAUUCUCUCUCAAAAUGUGUGCAAGUGCUGUGUUUUUAAACAUAAAAAUACCUAUAUAACGAGCCGGUUUGAGUAAUUCAGAAAUGACAAUUCAGUACUGAAGGAAGUUUCACUUUCUUGCCUCAUAGCUGUGUGUUUGUUUACCUUUUUGCAUAUGUAUGAGUUUAUAUAUAAUGUGAACGAGUGCAUGAAAUGCUCACGCUGUUUCAGUUUGAGCAGUCUUUCCAUAUUCCCCCCGUCUGUAACUACUGUUGUUUACUCUUCAAGGAUGUUCACCACAAAACCCACUUUAACUCGUGCGCUGCUAAUUUUACAGGCAGGGUUUCAGUUCCAGCUCGAAGCAGCCUCAUUGUCCUGGAGCUCUGCCCAUGAAUGGGCCUUCCUGCAGUUGCCAAGAAUACUGAAAUGAAACGACUGGGUAAAAACAAUGCGUGGCGGAGCGCAGGCAAUUAAUGAAUCAACGCGAGGCACUGUCGGUGGAAUACGCUGAGCAUAUUGGUCUGGCCGCCUCUGCAUCAGCGCCGAGUUCUUAGAAAUGUCCCACUCGAGGCGGAAGAUACAGUCACCCGGCUGCUUAUGGAGAAAUGGGACGGCUUCAGUGCUCCGUGAAUAACACGAGUCAUGUCUGCCGCUCUCUGCUUACUCACCCUUGAAAGAAGCCAGUAUGGAAGCAGCAGAAAGCGACUCAGGCUCGCAAACAAAGUGGCUCGGGCUGCGGCGUGGUAGGAGUCUCUGUGAAGGCGGUGGCCUGCUCAGCAAGGUGUGAAGCGUGCAUGUGCUCGUGUAGAAAGGAUCUGCCCUGGAGGAUCUGGAGCUCAAGGAGCUGAGAGAGGUGGACAAGGGCAGUGGGAAGGAAGGGCUGUGGGUCCCAUGCCCCUGAGCAGGCUGAUUGCAGGAGAGAUUUUUUUUUUCUUUAGUAGAAUCUGGAAGCACAGAGAUGUAGGGAGGUGGUUUUCCUGCUGAGCUCCUUGCUGGGACCCUUUGUAGCACCUUGGUGCACCCCUAAGUGUCCUGGGGAGCUCACUGGAAGUGCCAGACAUGGGUGUCCAGCACAAAGUUCCCGAGGUCUUCUAUUUGUGACAGCAUCCUCUGCUUGCUACAAGGUAAGGCCUCUAGAUCAGCAGUGUGUUGGAUCAGAUUUAAUGGCUUGAACUGCACGGGUUUGUUUACAGGGAAGCAAGCUGGUGCUGUGCUUGUGUCCCUGUCCCCUGCCGUAGCUGCAAUUCCUGUAACAACGGAACAGGUUGUGGCUGUGGUGAAUGUGCUGCUGCUCACGGUCCUGCGAGGCAGAGAGAAGUGAGAUUCUUGCUUUCCUGUAGAUGUGCGGCACAGAAGAAAUAAGCUUCCUGCUCAGCACCACAGAAGAAAGCAUCGUCGUGACGUUAACAUCAAUCCUGCAUCCUCUCUGCCUGGUUCCCAGUGACUGAGUUCCCCUUUGCGGUAAAGCCCUUCUCCCUCCCUACCGCAGCGUGGCUGAGCAGCACGGCCUUUGUCAGUACAUCUCUGCAGGGAAAACAAAUUACCGUAAUGGCCCAAACGCUCCGUUUCUUCUGAAAGCCCGCGAGGUGAGCUUUGCAGGUCGGCUGUUCCAGAAGAGCAACCACCACGUGCUGACCUUUGCUCGUGUGAGUGCCAGCGUUAAUGAGUUACCUGCUGACCCCAGAGCCCUCCAGGAACCAUGUCAGCCUCCGCAGAGACCCCAGCUUGCCCACGGGUGGCUCCUUGUUACGCUCCAGCCUGCCCGUGCCCACCCCACAAACUCAGCCCCUUGGCCCCAGAGCUGCUGUUUGCAGCUCGGACAUGAGCAGGAGCCUCCUGGCCCCUGAGCUCAGCGCUGUGAGGUCUGCUGAAGCUUCUCGGCCAGCUGCAAAGCCUAAAGGAAGGAGGUGAUGCUGUUUAGGCAUCGUGGUUUUUAGUCCUUCGUUGUUUUUUUUUUUUUUUUAAUUUUGUAUUUUUUUAAAUAGGGAUUUUACAGUUGUUUCUGUAGCUUUGUAUCUGAACGAGGCGAAAAAUAACUUCAUAAUUUCUUUUAAAUAUACCUGAUAGAAUGACAAGUAGGAAGAGAAGCUGAACUUCGGAUCGAGCCUUCCUCUUUAACGUGCAGCCAGAAAACGCCAGAAGCUGCUUGUCCCAGAACAAAGCCGAGAGGUGGCCUCUGCUUGCUGCAUGCACCUGCCUCCUCGCCCCGGUCCCCUGCAGGGACCCUUCAGUGUGCCUGUGCCCAAACCCUGCUGCCCGUCCCUGGACCUGCGGGAGGGCAGGGGCGCUGAGAGCCGUGGGGCGCUCAUGGGGGCAGCGCGGGGGUCCCUUGGGCACAGCAGGAGCUGGGGACCGAGGGGCUUCCCCUAACAAAGCCCUUUCCAUCCGGCUCCCACUAUCCCCGUUGUUGGCGCAGUUUGGGAUCUGCGCGGCUCGGGAGCACAAAAGAGGCCAAACAAUAGGCACGGGGGAGCCUCCUGGCCCUGUCGGUCUGGACAGCUUUGUUCCAGCCUCCUUCCCGGGCAGGCGCUCGCCCCGCUCCUCCGUGUCCUUUGUCCCCAGCUGGAGACGGGCAGGUGAGCGGCGUGCGGGGCAGGUGCUCGAUGCACGAGGCUCCUCGGGCGCUGGGACUGUGGAUUUGGCUGGGGAGAGCCCUGGUCUGCCCGGUCCUGAGCGCCACUGUGCUGCUCCGGCAGCUCUGGGCUUGAUUUUAACCAGCAGCUGCAGGUUCUGCACUUCGAUUUUACGACUGGCUGUAAUUUUUGAACCAAACAAACAGGCAGCUGGCAGGCAGAUAUUAGCCUGGCAGAAAUCAGCCCCUGUCCCGACAAGGCUGGUUCUGAGAGGGGGUUUGAUAAGGCGUGUACGGAAAGGGGGUGUGCGAUAACACCGGGGAAGGAAAACACACAGGCUGGAGCGGUGACAAAGAGCUCGGUCGCACGCUCUGCCGUGCAAACGGGAUUGUUUGCGCGCUUGUCUGGCUCCCUCUUCCCCGUCCCCCAGCACCAGAGGGGCCGGGCUCCUCGGGGAGCUGCUGGGUCUGGGCAGAGAAUGCCCCUGGGGUCUGCGGCAGCAGCAGGGGCUGCAUGAGGGGACGUGGCCUCUGGGGCUGGCUUUAUGGCUGCACGUGGAGAGCGACAGCUGAGCUCCUCUGGCUGCUUUCCCUUCCAUCCUUAACGUGCAGCUCGUCCCAUCCUGCACCAGCCGUCUGAAAACACACCUAAAUGGCUCUCCAAAACAAAGGUCCUCGUGUGAUUGUUUUCCUUUUUAUCUUAGCUUUCAAGGAAUGGAGGUGAACCGAGAGCAGAUAAGGAGUAUUUACUCCCCGUGAGCAAACAGCGGAGGGCUGAAAUGAAGGAUUUUCUCCAGCAACAGCACUCCCCGCUCGUCACGCUGCACCUCUGAGUUUCCAGUAAGCGUACCUGAGCUACAAGGCAAACAAAUCGAGAGCCGUCAAGGUGUAUUUACCCUCCUGCUGCUCCUGCCACGGCGCUGGUGCAGGCUGGUGGCACGGGGAUGGGCACAGCCACCCGCACACCGGGCCAGGCCCUCGGGAUGCACCCAGCACCUCCGGGAUGAGCCCGUCCUCAGGCCCAUUGCAGCUCUCUCCCGUCCCUUCUGGUACUGGGACUUAGGUGAUGAUGGUGUUUUGGUAAAGUUGCCUUUUAGACUUCUGCCACGCAGUAUGUAGCUUUCCUGAGCCAUCAAGAAAAUGCUGAGAAAUCAGACUGAGGAGGUUUUGCCUUUCUUUCCCCACUCGGUGCUCCCCCACCCCUUAUCUCCAGACGGCUGCUCUGCCCCAGCCGCUCUGUAAACUUGUCCGGGUUUCCAGCGCUCCCCGCAUAAACCGCAACUGGGUGCUUUUUGCGCCGAUUAAGAUCACGCUGUGUGAAAGCAAACACAAAUUAGCUGUGGUCUUUGGGCCCCUGACACGUCUCCAGAGUCGCUGCCGGCGCCACAGCGCUCGUGCAACCCCGCAGCCUCUGUGCGGUGACGUCCCUGCGCCGGCACUGUGCGGGGCUGCUCCCAGCUCAGCUGCUAAUGCUCCCACCAGCUUUUACCACCAAAGUGGGAAGGGAGCUUUUCAGCAGCCGGAUGAACAGCAGGGACUUGCUUUUUCUCACUAGGCUACAAUGUCAGAUGUGGGAAGGGGAAGGAGGGGGAGGAUUUCCUGGGUAAUUCCCCAAAUCUUGAUGUGUGUGCAAAUGCCUCCCAGUCUGCUGCGUGCUACCCCUGUGAGCCCAGUGCAGGGGGAGACCGUGUCCCUGUUCAGGAUUAACUCCUGCAGGAAAAGAGCCCAUAAACUUCUUGUACAAACCAAGCCUGAAGUUUGCCACUUCUCUUAUGCAGGGAAGCACGGGACACUUUCCUGCCUGCUUGGACUCGCGCAGCACACAACGUGUCACACCAUUUCAGCACCCCUCGCAUAAGCUCUGCGGCGUGUUUACCGUCAGCAGCGGUGUUUCGUUUCAACAGAAACCUUUAAAGUCUUUGCAACUUCCUCCGGGGAUGCUAAACUCAGCGCCGCCGCGACCGGGUGGUGAAUGGGUUGAAAACGCUGCCGACGGUUUGAGGCGGCGCGUGGGCGCCGCGGGGGCGAAUGUUCCCUGCGCCGGGUGUUUUCUAAAGGUCUCCGACGCACGAGGCAUGACUGAAUGACUUGUGCUUUCUUUGCGUGGUGAGGGGGUGAAUCUUGAAUUGCUGGGCUGCUUUUAUUUUUGUUAGACGUGUGUGGGCUGACGACAUGACUCAGUAUUUUCUCUGCAGAUGCAAAGAUCGUCCUGCCAAUUCUGGGUAGACUCUGGGCAGUUUCAUGCGGAGAACUGGAACGCGUUUUAUUCCAGAGCUUUGCUUUUUGGCAGCCUGAAGCCCCUUGAUGUGGAAAUAAAUAAUAAGUAAAUAAAUAAAACAAGAGUGCUCUUGCAAAACGUACAAAAAUAUACUGAAAAAAUGUCCGAGGAUGGGGAAACUACCUCUUACCCUUGUGUUUUCCCAACAACUUAACUGAUUAUUUUCUUGUUACUCUGAAAAAAUGCCUGUUAACAUCUGACUUCUUUUUCUGCUCCUUCCAGGUCUUGGUUGCUUGUGGGCCAUCCCUUUGGCUGCAGUAACGACCCAAACCCUGCUACAAUCCUGACUCAGUAACAGCCCAUACAGCUGUGAACUAUACCCGAGCACUGAUUCUAAGCUAAUUACAAGCCUUUGGUACAAGCGUGCAGGAGGAUGUGCUGCAGUGCCACUGUUUCAUCUUCCUAUCAUCCUAGUUCCUCAGUCCUAAGCCCUGCUUUCCAUUCUUGACAUUUUCUCCAGCCUGCACUGCCCACCCACGGAAAUAACGCACCCCAAAUGUUAGCUUAAGUGCAACCAUCGUUCCUCUGCACCUAGUGGGAAGCUGCUCGAUUUGGUCAGCCAAGUGCCUUCGUGGCCCUGUCCCAGAGUAAAAGAAUGGGGUACUCCCCCUUAUCCCCUCUGGGCAGUGCUCACAUUUUCCAGCAAUAAUCCAAGACUCUCAGCCCUUCCUAUCACACUGCCUGAUCCCAGAAAGUUGGGUUUGCCAGGGGCUGCGCUUGGCAGGGCCUGUUCUGGUGGAGAAGACGGGGGGAAGAUGUUUGGGGGCUGCUUUGGAAGGUGAAACUGCUUGCUGGAGCUGCUGAGGGAGGGCGAGUAGGCUGCAGGCUGCUCAGGUCUGCUCAGGUGCCAGCACUGUGUCAAGCAAAGCAUGUGCUGCUGAAGCACUUUGGUCCUGCUCCUUUGUAUACAGUCAAGGUUGGCAUUGCCAUUUCUGUUUCUAAACUGCAUUUUAUGAGGCUGUCCGGGUUUCUGGGAGGAAUGCUUAUUAAAAGAGGUUUUGUAAUUCUCUUACAGCGAGUGUGUGGUCUUUUGCUUUUCUGAACUUCUGCUGUGCUCCAUUCAAGUGUAUUUGUGCUUGGAAAGAAACCUUGGACAGAGAACAGCUGACGGAGAGCAGAUCAGACUGGGGGCGAGAUGGAGCUGGCUCAAGCUACGUUCCUGCCGCAGAUGAGGCAGGUACCCCCCCCCUGCUCAAAGGGUGCCUGCAGCGGCCAGGAUCGCUGAUACACCCUGCUUGGAGAGAAAUCACAACAGCCAAAGGAUGUUGUUUGUGGUCGUAGAGAAAGUGCUCGUUAACCGGUGAGCUUUGCUGUGCGUGGCUGAGGCUGCAACUUCCUUCUGUUCACAGAGACCUGGGUUUGUUGCAGUACUCGAGGCUGGUACAGGGAAAGUCCCUGCAGAGGGCUGAGCCCGUCCUGCUUCCUCAUUCUUUGCACUCUCUCCACUGGGCAAACCUUUUCUUUGUCACCUGCAAACUUCCUCGUGAAAUCGAGCAACGCCAGACCAACCCUGAGCAAAAGGAGGCCUCCUCCCCACAAGUCGCACAGCCUCACCCCCUGCUCUUACGGGAAUACCCAGCGGUGUGCUUUACCGAGGCGAUUAGAGGGGUUGUCGUUCGCGGAGACCUCACGAAACACAACACAUGUGCGUUUUUAUGGCCAAUUUGGAUAAAGUUACCACUGCAGCUGGUGACUGCAGCUCCAAGAUAACACCCAGCACGUGACAGCCUAGGAAGCAGCACACCAAGGAGCCAGGAGCUGUGUGUUUUCAGGUUGUGGCGUGGCUACAAGCACCGAUGUGUUGUUGCACAACUUUGACGUGAACAGCUGUCUCCCCGUUGUUGUCAUGUUGUUAUUACUUGUAAAUGUUUCUGCAAGAGCUUUCAGGCCCUACCACUAAUACGUAUUUUCCUUAAUGUCCUUUUGGAUUAGAUUAAUAACUCGAUGUGCUUUUGGAUCAGAUUAAUAAAGGAAAACAAUGUCUGUUGUAA